UACGUAGGGUGCAAGCGUUGUCCGGAAUUAUUGGGCGUAAAGAGCUCGUAGGCGGUUUGUUGCGUCGGCUGUGAAAUCCCGAGGCUCAACCUCGGGUCUGCAGUCGAUACGAGCAAACUAGAGUGUUGCAGGGGAGACUGGAAUUCCUGGUGUAGCGGUGAAAUGCGCAGAUAUCGAGGAGGAACACCGGUGGCGAAGGCGGGUCUCUGGGCCGAUAUUGACGCUGGAGGAGCGAAAGCGUGGGGAGCGAACAGG
rnacentral:rRNA from 1 species